rnacentral:rRNA from 1 species
CAGUCGCCGCGGUAAUACGGAGGGUGCAAGCGUUAAUCGGAAUUACUGGGCGUAAAGCGCACGCAGGCGGUCUGACAAGUCAGAUGUGAAAUCCCCGGGCUUAACCUGGGAACUGCAUUUGAAACUGUCAGGCUGGAGUCUUGUAGAGGGGGGUAGAAUUCCAGGUGUAGCGGUGAAAUGCGUAGAGAUCUGGAGGAAUACCGGUGGCGAAGGCGGCCCCCUGGACAAAGACUGACGCUCAGGUGCGAAAGCGUGGGGAGCAAACGGGAUUAGAUACCCGAGUAGUCCCUGUCUCUUAUAC